rnacentral:sRNA from 1 species
ACAUGCCGGGUGACAACCGGCCGUGACGGGGAUGAUGGACGUAGCCUAUUUUGCCGGUUUCAGGCUACGGCACCAACGCAUCGGCACGCGUUUUGUCUAACCCGUUCCCGGC